UACGUAGGGUGCGAGCGUUGUCCGGAAUUAUUGGGCGUAAAGAGCUCGUAGGCGGUGUGUCACGUCGAUCGUGAAAACUUGGGGCUUAACUCUGAGCUUGCGGUCGAUACGGGCAUCACUGGAGUUCGGCAGGGGAGACUGGAAUUCCUGGUGUAGCGGUGAAAUGCGCAGAUAUCAGGAGGAACACCGGUGGCGGAGGCGGGUCUCUGGGCCGAUACUGACGCUGAGGAGCGAAAGCGUGGGGAGCGAACAGG
rnacentral:rRNA from 1 species